rnacentral:rRNA from 1 species
CAUGUAGGCGGUCUGUUAAGUCUGAUGUGAAAGCCCGGGGCUCAACCCCGGAAGUGCAUUGGAUACUGGCAGACUUGAGUAUGGGAGAGGAAAGUGGAAUUCCGAGUGUAGGAGUGAAAUCCGUAGAUAUUCGGAGGAACACCAGUGGCGAAGGCGGCUUUCUGGACCAAUACUGAUGCUGAGAUGCGAAAGCGUGGGGAGCGAACA